GGACUACCCGGGUUUCUAAUCCCGUUCGCUCCCCUGGCUUUCGUGUCUCAGCGUCAGCACACCCCCAGCGAGCUGUUUUCACCGUUGGCGUUCCAAAUGAUAUCUACGCAUUUCACCGCUCCACCAUUUGUUCCGCUCGCCCCUAGGUGGCUCAAGACGACCAGUAUACCCAGCAGUUCCACGGGUGAGCCGUGGGAUUUCACAAGGUACUUAGAAGUCCGCCUACACACGCUUUAAGCCCAGUGAUUCCGCCUAACGCUCGGCACCUCUGUAUUACCGCGGCUGCUGGCAC
rnacentral:rRNA from 1 species